UGCAGGUGUUCAUAGAAAAACUUUCUGUGCAUGGGUAUCGCUCAGACGUUAUGAGGAAAAUGGCUUUAGCGAGUGCAUAUUCACUGUUAAUCUCGUCCUGCUUCUCUUACUGAGUAAACUAUAUUAGUUUCAGUUAUUAGUUACAACAUUAUAAUUUUAAUUUUCCACAAAAUCACGACUGAAAGGUUCAGGCUUACACGCACUGAGAUCAGAAGAGCAUCUUUCUAAUUUUGGGAGUCCAUGAGUGCAAGAGAAGAACCUAACUCCAGCCAAGAGUUCUCACUGAAUGGUUCACCAAAAUCACACUAGAGGACGCCACAGUGUCAUUUCUCUCUGCAAAUGCAACGCAGGAGGUGAGAGGUCAAAGAAGUAAUUCACACAGGGAAAUUUGUCCUGGACUCCAAGUGCUGCACUCAUCAGGCUGCCAGCUAAUAACAUAUUUUCUCACCGUCUGCUCCAAUCCGCCCAUCACUGUCGUCAUCAGCGGCACACAGGAAACCUUUGGUCUCCUUGUCUGUCAGAACGCGAGCACCAGGAGAAAACCUCUGGAGGAAAAACCUGCCAGAUAUCCUUUUACAGGCAGCAGUCCCAAAACGAGCACAUCUGAGCCACAUCCCGCUGCAAAUAUGCCCCUAUCAUUAGAGUUGCACUUAAAAUACAACCUCUACAACUCUGUGUGACCUGGAGCCUCACCAUGUAAAGAUGUCACAGAAUUCUGCAGAAGAGAGAGAACACAGAGGAUGCAGGAUUACAGAGGGGAUGUUGGAUUCAUUUAUUGGCUGGUUUUAGAGCAUGUGUUUUUAUAGAGGGCCGUUUCAGCACCAGGUAAUGGACAGCUCCUGAGUUUAAACAGCUCCUAAUCUUAUCGGCAGGCAGCUCUUACAGAUGUUU